CGCGCAUGCGCUACUUGCACGCUAUGACGUCAACCAUCGCGCGAACCAUUCCCGUUUGACGUCGCCAUUGCUGAAUUGGAUCAAGAGAAUACUGGCUACUGGAAGAAGUCACUACGCAACAGAUUCAGGAAUUGCAGGAAGUGUCAUGAACGUGAUAAUCCAUUAGGACAAAUGGA